rnacentral:rRNA from 1 species
CGGACGGGUGAGUAACACGUUGAUAACCUACCUAUAAGACUGGGAUAACUUCGGGAAACCGGAGCUAAUACCGGAUAAUAUAUUGAACUGCAUGGUUCAAUAGUGAAAGACGGUUUUGCUGUCACUUAUAGAUGGAUCCGCGCCGCAUUAGCUAGUUGGUAAGGUAACGGCUUACCAAGGCAACGAUGCGUAGCCGACCUGAGAGGGUGAUCGGCCACACUGGAACUGAGACACGGUCCAG